AAGAUGAAGCCCUGCUUUCAAGAUGGAGCCUGUUCUGUCUGUUUCCUCCUAUGCAAUCGGGUUACAGCCGUGAUUCAUACUCAGAAAGGUUCCACGUAUUUUUUCAGUCAACAAAAGUAAUUUCAAAUUCAGCAUUGCCUGGCCAAAGCAUAACUUGUAGAAGGCAUUUUCCUUACCAUCCUCACUUCUAAGCUUCACUGGUAAACAGAUGUUUCACUGAGAGUCUCAUAACAACGGUAACCCCAAAUCACAGCACAGCAUGGUGAUAUGCUACAUGAAAUAAGAACAUGUGUCCUUCCAUCCUUCAAAAUAUUUCUAAAGCAUCUCUUUUCCCUCCCUUGAAGCAGUUGGCCAUAUGCACAUUCAUGUCUGGAAGACUGGCAAAGGAAAAACUGUCUAUGCUUUCAAAGCCAUCCAAUUCCCUAGCCUGAUCCAGGAACGGAAGUGAAAGGACAGUGACAAAUCUUUGAGAUAAUAGCAGCGGGCGGGAUCACGGAGGUGAAGAAUCUGUUAUCUGAUGUAAACUGCUCAUCCGUGUGAGGUGAAUGAACUCUUUAAGGGGUGCCAUUUAGUUCAUGGGCAAAGAUAAUUUACUGAACACUACCCAGUGCCCGAGGCUGCGGAAUUCGUUCCAUUCUGCUAAGCAGGAUGCUCUAAAGAACUUGUUUAUUUCUCUCUGUUCAUCAGUUCAUUAAUAAGAAAUGACAAAUGAUUCAUUCACACUAUGUAUUGUAUAACUCUAAUAAUAGCCAGUCUGCAUUUCUAAUGC